UCUGAAGAAGAAAAAUAAGAAGGAGACAUGGAGAAUCGUGGGAGAAAGAAGAGGCAACUCUGUGAUGCCAGGAGCCGGAGGAAAGGGAUAAAGCGAGCGAAAACGAGAGAACGAUGCGUAUGGAUCAAUACCGAUAGUGCGCGUAGUAGACGCAAAUUGUUGGGUGUGUCUCGUAGUCUCAUCUCUAUGUUACUCGACUGCCCAAACUGUUCGAAUCCAAUAGGAAUCAUACUUCUUGUUACGACUGAGAAAUAACGAAAACGAAUGAGAAUAUCUUCCGAUAUCUUUGUUUAGACUGCCAUAGGCAAAUGGAAUGAAACGUUUUUGUUACGCAUCAAGUUCUUCCCUGUCCUUCGCUCUGCUUCUCUUCUUGGUUCAAGAAGAGGUUUCCAAAAAUAACCAAAGAGUAUUAAUAAAAUCACCGUUGGCUGUUCAAACUAGAGGCGAACAUUGGUAAACUCUUGGUGGAAAGGGAAUGGAUAUUUUGGAAUGCCGUGUGUGUACCGGUUAUGUUACGUGUGCAAAGAUAUAUGUUUGUGACCGCGCGUACGCGCCUCCCCCUCUCCUCUUCCUCUGCCGACAAUAAAUUUAAAAAAAUUUAAAAGCAAAUACAAAGAUGAGUGAUAUAGAACGUAAUCGUAUCGUAUUGUAUCGUAUCGUACGACACAGUAAAGGUGACAAUUUUGCAACUACAAUUCUUUUUUUUAAUCUGAUACAAGCUUUAUAUUUAUAUUUACGUGUACUUUUGCUGUCAGAUCGAACGGAUUAAAUAUUUUUUAAUAUAAAACUUUGAAUUAUAUAGGACCUUUGCAUAUAGGUCCAUUUCUGUAAGUUGAACGUAAUUUGUUUCCAAAAAUAACGAGGGUCUACUUCUUCUCACGAAGCGGCACACUGACGAAAAUUUUUUCACGUUUUAGAUUGUCGCUAGGCAAGGUCAAGAAUGUAAAAUACGAACGUACCUGCAUAAGGGCCACACGGUGAUGCAUUGUCUUUUCCACUUUUCCCAUCCUUGCUUCCGCUUCCUAAAACAAUCGAAAACGAAUUUUGUUUUGAGAAAAUGGACAAUGUUGUUUGUUGGAGUUUUACUGGCCGGCUUAAUGAAAAAUCACAGGCCACUAUGCAAAGCUAGCGAGAAACAAAUGCGUUUGAAACACAUUGAAUAUAAAACAAGGGAAACGUGCGUAUGCUGGACAAAACGGCUAUCGGAUGACUCGUAUGGCACCGUUUGGAAGUAAUCUCCAAGUACGGCGCGUGUCUCCCUUGGAAAUUGACCAAAUAAAAUCGAGCGGUUGCCACAUGCCAGUUUUCUGCGUAAGAAGCAACAAAUCAAAUAAUGGAGAAACUUAAAAUCGCAAAGUUCGAAUAACGAGCAAAAUUACUUUUGUUCUAUGUAGUGUCAAGGAUUAAAUUGAGAGACAUACCGAGCAAAUAUUUCAAAUUAAUUUUCUUAAAAACGAAACUUCCUGCGAAGAAAAUAUAUUUCUUUCAACUAAUUUUGUCGGACAGAAUUAUCUUUUUUUCUGCUCGUAUCGCUAUUUACGUGUAAGUCACUCUGUGCGCAUGUUAUGCGAGUGCCCCCCCCCUCCCCCCCCCCUCCUUCGACAUUGCACAAUGAAACUCUGAAUUUGAAAAAAUUUAAAUAAGCGAAUAAACGACAUGAAGAGGAUAAGAGUGAAGAAGAAAAGAGACAGCGAGCUAAUAAAGAAAUUACACCAGUUCGCGAAUCGACGAAAAACAGACUGAGAAAUUAAAAUGCAAUAAAGCGCAAGUAGCGCAAACAAACGUACGUUAGGCGAUACUUUAAUAAAAGAGAUGUACGUACAUUUCCGCUUAAGAGAAUAACAACAAAUUUAAUAUCUAGAUGUGGUUAAUUAGAGUUUCAAUAUUACAAAGAAAUAACAUUGUGAACAAAAUAUUUAUUAUAACAUGCUCGAAAUUUUUCAGCGAGAGCAUACGUGUACAUGGCCACGCAGCUUCGUAUAAUUUCUUCUCUCUGCUUUUCGAGAGUUUCACCGUUAAACCAGCGUACCAAAGUCCUUUGCUCUCUUUCCAUCGAGAGUUUAUUCGGCCACCAGUAACAACCACCAGUAGAUAUGUUCCCGACUCUAUUUCUGGCAGGAUAAUAAUAACUUCUCCAUAUCUUGUUUCAGCGACUAGGUUUGGAUGACAGAACGCGAGAUCUUUGCGAACAGUUUUAACUUUAUAAAAGACGCGACAAUUGGAAAUUGUUGGAAAGCGAUCAUGUUCUUAUUCUUUGCUGAAAGUCCGGCUUUGUUCCAAAACUGGCUUUUCGAUUUGUUUCACGAGGAGACAUCGUAGAAGUAAUUUUUUUUUUUUUUUAAAAUUUACUUCUACAAUUAUUGUAUUGAAUUAGAAUUGUCACGAAAAAUGUUGUGGCAAUAAUAAAGUUGGGAAUUGAUAAAGAACAAUUACGAACAAACGAGCGAAAGAGUAAAAAAGGAGAAAAGUGAGAGAAACAAAUGCGUUACCUGCAAUCGAGGUCACGAUUGUGUCUAGGGUUCUUAUUCAAUGCCAUGGUUAAGUGCCGUUACUAUUAUCUAGCACGUGACAAUCUAGACGAUAAUAGGCAACUUUGGGUUAUCGAAUGAAAUUGAAGAAACGUGGUCUAUCGAAACGAAGUAAGUUUAUGAAAAUAAAUGCAGACACUAUACGCACGUACUUUUGUUAGCUGCAAUUUCAUGCUCGUUGUGCGAGCCAAAGAUAGCGAGAGUGAACGCGUUUGGCAUUUGUAUCACAAAUGAUUAUUUACGUUCGAAUCAAUCGAUGGUUUUUUUAGCAAGGUUUCUUUUUUCACGAUCUACAGACGUAGGUCACUGCUAAUCGUAUUGAUAAUCAAACUCGCCGAAUUACAGGAUAAAUUAUUUAAGUUUCAUUCAAAUAACUUUAUCUUAUCUCGUUGCAC